rnacentral:rRNA from 1 species
CAAUAGCGUAUAUUAAAGUUGUUGCGGUUAAAAAGCUCGUAGUUGGAUUUCUGCUGAGAACGACCGGUCCGCCCUCUGGGUGUGUAUCUGGCUCUUUCUUGGCAUCUUCUUGGUGAACGUUGCUGCACUUGACUGUGUGGAGCGCUACCCAGGACUUUUACUUUGAGGAAAUUAGAGUGUUUCAAGCAGGCAUACGCCUUGAAUACAUUAGCAUGGAAUAAUAAGAUAGGACCUCGGUUCUAUUUUGUUGGUUUCUAGAGCUGAGGUAAUGAUUAAUAGGGAUAGUUGGGGGCAUUCGUAUUUAACUGUCAGAGGUGAAAUUCCUGGAUUUGUUAAAGACGGACUACUGCGAAAGCAUUUGCCAAGGAUGUUUUCAUUG